rnacentral:misc_RNA from 1 species
GAAAUGCGAUAAGUAAUGUGAAUUGCAGAAUUCAGUGAAUCAUCGAAUCUUUGAACGCACAUUGCGCCCCUUGGUAUUCCGAGGGGCAUGCCUGUUCGAGCGUCAUUAUAACCAAUCUAGCUAUGCUAGGUGUUGGGCUCCGCCGUUCGGUGGGCCUCAAAGCAAGUGGCGGUGCCGUAGGGCUCUAAGCGUAGUAAAUCUCUCGCUAUUGGGUUCCCGCGGUAACUAGCCAGUAACCCCCAUACUUUUCAGGUUGACCUCGGAUCAGGUAGGGAUACCCGCUGAACUUAA